rnacentral:lncRNA from 10 species
UAGUGCUUGCUAAGGAAGACUUCACAGAGGAGUCACACCUUAAAAAAAAAAGGAGGGGUUAUUCCUGCUUUUGCCGUGCUGUGAUCCAGGGCAGAGCUCCAGGCUUCAUACGGUAAAACUCUCUGGGAAGGAAAGGAACUCAGAGUCCCAUGCAGAAAAUUGUUCAGCUGGAGGGGUAUCAGAAAGAUGGAUUUCCAAAGCCAACUGUUUCCUGUAGUGUGUGGAUCUCUGCAAGCAGAGCCUCAUCUUUCAAUUUCAGCUACAUGAAAGAGGAAGAAAGGGAAAGAUAUAUGUCAUACGUGAUAUACUUUAUGUGGCUUUGAAGACCCCUCUUUUGUGGGGCUACGGCUAAAGAACAUAGUUCCCUGGGAUGGAAUUGGCUCUUCCUAUUUCCCUACUUCAUGAAAACUCCAGUAGAAGACCUUAGAACCUUGUCCUGGUUACAUGGAUAUGUUUACUUUGUGAAAAUUCAUCAAGCACUAUGCACGGUCAUGAUUUGUACAUUUUUUUGUAAGAUAACUUCAUUAAAAUUUACUUUUUUUAUUUUU